ACGGAGAGGCCCGACUCUCCCGGACGCGGCCCGCGGUCAUGUUCCCCUUCGUUUCGGCCGUUCGUCCGUUCGGCCUUUCGGCAGACUCGACUCGGACUCGCUCGGCUCCGGGUGUACAGUAAUACCUGAUGCCAGACUGGGUCCCAGGAUUGUUCCGCCCGGCCGACAGGCCGGGACAGGCCCGACACCCCGAGUCCCAAGUCCGGCCCGAAUGGUAUUCCAGAACGGCCCCAGAAUGCCUUCGGCCUGGCCGGCCCGCACGCGAGCAGCGCAAGUAAGAUUAGCUCCGAAACGAGAGGCAGGGGCGCACUUAGCGACGGUAAUUAAUUCAUUAAUGUAAUUCACUCGGGCAGAGCGUUGCGGCCGCCCGGAGCAGCCCGGAGCACGGACUCGGUUUCCGCCAAAGUUUCCUACCUUUUGUUUCCUGCUGUGUGUAUCAUACACGUGCCAUACCUUCGCGGGUAUGACUUCCGACAUGUGUCGACCUCCGUGAAAAUAAAAGUGCUGUAUGAUGGUUU